rnacentral:rRNA from 1 species
GCCUUAGUGGCGGCGAGUGAAGCGGCAAAAGCUCAAAUUUGAAAUCUGGCUCUUUCAGAGUCCGAGUUGUAAUUUGAAGAAGGUAUCUUUGGGUCUGGCUCUUGUCUAUGUUUCUUGGAACAGAACGUCACAGAGGGUGAGAAUCCCGUGCGAUGAGAUGAUCCAGGCCUAUGUAAAGUUCCUUCGAAGAGUCGAGUUGUUUGGGAAUGCAGCUCUAAGUGGGUGGUAAAUUCCAUCUAAAGCUAAAUAUUGGCGAGAGACCGAUAGCGAACAAGUACAGUGAUGGAAAGAUGAAAAGAACUUUGAAAAGAGAGUGAAAAAGUACGUGAAAUUGUUGAAAGGGAAGGGCUUGAGAUCAGACUUGGUAUUUUGUAUGUUACUUCUUCGGGGGUGGCCUCUACAGUUUAUCGGGCCAGCAUCAGUUUGGGCGGUAGGAGAAUUGCGUUGGAAUGUGGCACGACUUCGGUUGUGUGUUAUAGCCUUCGUCGAUACUGCCAGCCUAGACUGAGGACUGCGG